rnacentral:rRNA from 1 species
GGAGAAUGUUAUCACGGGAGACACACGGCGGGUGCUAACGUCCGUCGUGAAGAGGGAAACAACCCAGACCGCCAGCUAAGGUCCCAAAGUCAUGGUUAAGUGGGAAACGAUGUGGGAAGGCCCAGACAGCCAGGAUGUUGGCUUAGAAGCAGCCAUCAUUUAAAGAAAGCGUAAUAGCUCACUGGUCGAGUCGGCCUGCGCGGAAGAUGUAACGGGGCUAAACCAUGCACCGAAGCUGCGGCAGCGAACGUAUCACUUAAAGCGAUUCAGCGGGUUACGAUUGACGGAGCGAAGCGACGUCAAAGCGUAUACAAAGUCGAGUCGGUUUAAGGAUACGUUCGUUGGGUAGGGGAGCGUUCUGUAAGYCUGCGAAGGUGGCCUGUGAGGGUUGCUGGAGGUAUCAGAAGUGCGAAUGCUGACAUAAGUAACGAUAAAGCGGGUGAAAAGCCCGCUCGCCGGAAGACCAAGGGUUCCUGUCCAACGUUAAUCGGGGCAGGGUGAGUCGACCCCUAAGGCGAGGCCGAAAGGCGUAGUCGAUGGGAAACGGGUUAAUAUUCCCGUACUUGGUGUUACU